AUUGAACGCUGGCGGCAUGCCUAACACAUGCAAGUCGAACGGCAGCGGAGUGAGGCCUGGCUCUUUGGGGGGGCGUGGCGCGGGGGGGUGUAGUAUACCGCGACAUCUAGUUUUUCGGGGGGUAUAAAGUAGGGAAGCUGACGCAUAUACCGCAUACUACCUGGGAGUAAAAGGGGGAGCUCGUCGGACCUUGCGCGAUUGUAUAACCGGAUGUCGGAUUAGCUAGUUGGCGGGGUAAAGGCGCACCAAGGCGAGGAUCCGUAGCUGGUCUGAGAGGAUGAUCAGCCACACUGGAACUGAGACACGGUCCAGACUCCUACGGGAGGCAGCAGUGGGGAAUAUUGGACAAUGGGCGCAAGCCUGAUCCAGCCAUGCCGCGUGGGUGAAGAAGGCCUUAGGGUUGUAAAGCACUUUUGUUGGGGAAGAAAAGCAGCAUGUUAAUACUGCGCUGUUCUGACGGUACCUAAAGAAUAAGCACCGGCUAACUUCGUG
rnacentral:rRNA from 1 species